ACAGUNGGGAUAAUGUGCACCAUGUCGACAGCUCCCUCCCACAAGGGGUUGGGCACGUGACGGGCGGUGUGUACUACGUGCCAGCAGCCGCGGUUAAUAACGUAGGACACAGAGCGUUGUCCGGAAUUUAUUUGGCGAUAAUAGAGGUCGUAGGCGGCUUGUCACGUCCGGUUUGCAAAAGCCCGGGACUUAACCCCCGGGUCUGCCAGUCGAUACGGCCAGGCUAGAGUUCGGUAGGGGAGAUUGGAAUUCCUGGUGUAGCGGUGAAAUGCGCAGAUAUCAGGAAGGAAACACCGGUGGCGAAGGCGGAUAUCUGGGCCGAUACUGACGCUGAGGAGCGAAAAGCGUGGGGAGCGAACAGAAUUAGAUACCCUGGUAGUCCUCGCCGUCAACGGUGGGCACUAGGUGUGGGCGACAUUGCACGUCGUCCGUGCCGCAGCUAACGCAUUAAGUGCCCCGCCUGGGGAGUACGGCCGCAAGGCUAAAACUCAAAAGAAUAGACGGGGGCCCGCACAAGCGGCGGAGCAUGUGGCUUAAUUCUACGCUACGCGAAGAACCUUACCAAGGCUUGACAUACACCGGAAACGUCCAGAGAUGGGCGCCCCCUUGUCGUCGGUGUACAGGUGGUGCAUGGCUGUCGUCAGCUCGUGUCGUGAGAUGUUGGGUUAAGUCCCGCAACGAGCGCAACCCUUGUCCCGUGUUGCCAGCAAGCCCUUCGGGGUGUUGGGGACUCACGGGAGACCGCCGGGGUCAACUUACAGGAAGGUGGGGACGACUUCAAGUCAUCAUGCCCCUUAUGUCUUGGGCUGCACACGUGCUACAAUGGCCGGUACAAUGAGCUGCGAUACCGCGAGGUGGAGCGAAUCUCAAAAAGCCGGUCUCAGUUCGGAUUGGGGUCUGCAACUCGACCCCAUGAAGUCGGAGUCGCUAGUAAUCGCAGAUCAGCAUUGCUGCGGUGAAUACGUUCCCGGGCCUUGUACACACCGCCCGUCACGUCACGAAAGUCGGUAACACCCGAAGCCGGUGGCCCAACG
rnacentral:rRNA from 1 species